rnacentral:rRNA from 1 species
AGUUCGAUUAUGGCUCAGAUUGAACGCUGGCGGGAUGCUUUACACAUACAGUGGAGCAACGGCAGCACGGACUUCGGUCUGGUGGCGAGUGACGAACGGGUGAGUAAUGUAUCGGAACGUGCCUAGUAGCGGGGGAUAACUACGCGAAAGCGUAGCUAAUACCGCAUACGCCCUUCGGGGGAAAGCGGGGGGACCCUUCCCGGGCUCCGCUGAGCAGCCCGGCUGGAUUAGCUAGUUGGUGGGGUAACGGCUCACCAAGGCGACAAUCCGUAGCUGGUUUGAGGACGACCAGCCACACUGGGACUGAGACACGGCCCAGACUCCUACGGGAGGCAGCAGUGGGGAAUUUUUUGGACAAUGGGGGAAACCCUGAUCCAGCCAUCCCGCGUGUGCGAUGAAGGCCUUCGGGUUGUAAAGCACUUUUGGCAGGAAAACUUUGGCACGGGAUAAUACCCGUGCAACUGACAGUACCUGCAGAAUAAGCACCGGCUAACUACGUGCCAGCAGCCGCGGUAAUACGUAGGGUGCAAGCGUUAAUCGGAAUUACUGGGCGUAAAGCGUGCGCAGGCGGUUCGGAAGAAAAGAUGUGAAAUCCCAGAGCUUAACUUUGGAACUGCAUUUUUAACUACCGAGCUAGAGUGUGUCAGAGGGAGGUGGAAUUCCGCGUGUAGCAGUGAAAUGCGUAGAUAUGCGGAGGAACACCGAUGGCGAAGGCAGCCUCCUGGGAUAACUGACGCUCAUGCACGAAAGCGUGGGAGCAAACAGGAUUAGAUACCCUGGUAGUCCACGCCCUAAACGAUGUCAACUAGCUGUUGGGGCCUUCGGGCCUUGGUAGCGCAGCUAACGCGUGAAGUUGACCGCCUGGGAGUACGGUCGCAAGAUUAAAACUCAAAGGAAUUGACGGGGACCGCACAAGCGGUGGAUGAUGUGGAUUAAUUCGAUGCAACGCGAAAAACCUUACCUACCCUUGACAUGUCUGGAAUCCCGAAGAGAUUUGGGAGUGCUCGCAGAGAACCGGAACACAGGUGCUGCAUGGCUGUCGUCAGCUCGUGUCGUGAGAUGUUGGGUUAAGUCCUGCUGGCUGGCCUUGUCAUUAGUUGCUACGAAGGGCACUCUAAUAAUGAGACUGCCGGUGACAAACCGGAGGAAGGUGGGGAUGACGUCAAGUCCUCAUGGCCCUUAUGGGUAGGGCUUCACACGUCAUACAAUGGUCGGGACAGAGGGUCGCCAACCCGCGAGGGCCAAUCCCAGAAACCCGAUCGUAGUCCGGAUCGCAGUCUGCAACUCGACUGCGUGAAGUCGGAAUCGCUGGUAAUCGCGGAUCAGCAUGUCGCGGUGAAUACGUUCCCGGGUCUUGUACACACCGCCCGUCACACCAUGGGAGUGGGUUUUACCAGAAGUAGUUAGCUAACCGUAAGGAGGGCGAUUACCCGUGGAUUCACCAAGCCUGCAGGGCGGAAGUCAUGUUGCUGAGUAGCCCUGUUAC